rnacentral:lncRNA from 12 species
AUGCCCGGUGGCAAAUGUGGACGGUGUCUAGUUUUCCCUGGCACACCGAGAGCUGAGGUGAGCGGGAUGAGCCCGAGCCUGGUGGUGUGCUUGUUGCCAGCUACGUUCAGUGGCCCAGAUGGCCCCAAGAACGCUGCACGGGAGCCGAGGGGCUCUGGCCCCGCGUCUGUAAUCGAAGCCUGGAGUAUUUUCUUCUGUUGCACAGCCGUCUCCGGGCCUUGCGUAGGGAGACGAUGCCAGGUGCCGAAGGUUCACCCACUGAAAGGUAGCUUUCGGGGGCGCCCGGUGGCUCAGUGGGAAGGGCGGGGCCUGGGUUCGAGCCCCACGCUGGACGUAGACAUUACUAAAUAAAUACCUAAGUAGACUUUUUUUUUUUUUAAGAUUUUAUUUAUUUAUUCAUGAUAGUCACACAGAGAAAGAGAGAGAGAGGCAGAGACACAGGCAGAGGGAGAAGCAGGCUCCAUGCAGGGAGCCCGAUGUGGGAUUCAAUCACGGGUCCCCAGGAUCACGCCCUGAGCCAAAGGCAGGCGCCAAACCGCUGCGCCACCCAGGGAUCCCCUAAGUAGACUUUUAAAAAGUCCUCUUUCAUGUCAUCCCAUCGAUCCGUUUUUUAAGUAAAUAGUUUUUCCACCUUGAGUCAGCGUUAGAAAGGACUUCACCAUGAGGUUAUAAAAUAAUGUCCCACAUCUUCCCUUAGGUCUUUUUCUACUUCUUUCUCAACACCUGAAUCUUCAGCCAUUUGGUGUCUACCUUGCAGUACAGUGUAUCAGAGGCCACCUCCGAUCCUAAAGUGCACCACACGUACAUUUUUGUAACAUGCCUGGAUUUUUUUUUCCUGGUCUCUUUUUUAAAGAUCUGAUUUUCAAGUAAUUUCUCGGUGCUCUACCACGAAGCCAACCGGGUGCCCACCCCCUGCCUUUGGAUGUUUUUUCAAAAGUAGCACAGCAGGGGGGCGCCUGGGUGGCUCCGUGGGUUAGGCGUGGGACCCUUGAUUUGGACUCAGGUCAAGAUCACAGGGUCCUGAGAUCAAGUCCCGCCUUGCGUUCUGGGCUCAAAGUGAGAA